AGAGAGCCUCAUGUGACUCAAACUAACUUCAAACUAAUUAUACAGAGAAAUUUGUUCCUGGAUUUCUGUUUCUUCUGUGUCUACUCUUCUCAAGAGAUAGAAGAACAGAUCCCGACUCUCUCACCUUCAGGCCUUACUGUUGGUGUUAUAAGACAACCCUCUUGAACAUUGACCUGAAAUGUAUCUCUUCCUCUACCAUAGACUGAAAGAACACUUUAAUAGAACUGGUGGGUUGAUUUAAGAUA